rnacentral:rRNA from 1 species
CCUACGGGAGACAGCAGUGGGGAAUAUUGCGCAAUGAAGGAAACCCUGACGCAGCAACGCCGCGUGAAUGAUGAAGGUCUUCGGGUUGUAAAGUUCUGUCCUCUGGGACGAUAAUGACGGUACCAGAAGAGGAAGCCACGGCUAACUACGUGCCAGCAGCCGCGGUAA